rnacentral:rRNA from 1 species
UACAGAGGUCUCAAGCGUUGUUCGGAUUCAUUGGGCGUAAAGGGUGCGUAGGUGGCGUGGUAAGUCAAAGGUGAAAUCCCUCGGCUCAACUGAGGAACUGCCUUUGAUACUGCCGUGCUCGAGGCCGGGAGGGGGUAGCGGAAUUCCCAGUGUAGCGGUGAAAUGCGUAGAUAUUGGGAGGAACACCAGUGGCGAAGGCGGCUACCUGGACCGGUUCUGACGCUGAUGCGCGAAAGCGUGGGUAGCAAACAGG